rnacentral:rRNA from 1 species
GACGAACGCUGGCGGCGUGCUUAACACAUGCAAGUCGAACGGAAAGGCCCUGCUUUUGUGGGGUGCGCGAGUGGCGACCGGGUGAGUAACACGUGAGUAACCUGCCCUUGACUUUGGGAUAACUUCAGGAAACUGGGGCUAAUACCGGAUAGGAGCUCCUGCUGCAUGGUGGGGGUUGGAAAGUUUCGGCAGUUGGGGAUGGACUCGCGGCUUAUCAGCUUGUUGGUGGGGUAGUGGCUUACCAAGGCUUUGACGGGUAGCCGGCCUGAGAGGGUGACCGGCCACAUUGGGACUGAGAUACGGCCCAGACUCCUACGGGAGGCAGCAGUGGGGAAUAUUGCACAAUGGGCGGAAGCCUGAUGCAGCAACGCCGCGUGCGGGAUGACGGCCUUCGGGUUGUAAACCGCUUUCGCCUGUGACGAAGCGUGAGUGACGGUAAUGGGUAAAGAAGCACCGGCUAACUACGUGCCAGCCGCCGCCGUAAUAC